CGAAAGCCUGACGGAGCAAUACCGCGUGAGGGAGGAAGGCUCUAGGGUUG
rnacentral:rRNA from 1 species